GCGGCCUGGUCCGUGCGUCCUGGGGUGUGUCCGGGCCGGUUUUUUGUCGGAGCGGGGCGCACGCGCAGACCGGGGCCGCGGGGCCGCUGAGGAUGCGCUGAGGAUGCGCUGGGGGCGCGCGGCGGCGACGAGCACCCGCCUUGGCGAAGGGGCCUCCACGGCGCCUUCUCCCGCCGUUGGCGCCCGUCUAGGUGCUGAGACUACGGCGAUGACGGUGGCGAAGGCCACCGGUCUCGCAGGCAGCUGCAGAGCUUCAACAGUACUGCAUGCAGAAUGCCUGCAAGGAUGCCCUGCUGGUAGGUGUUCCAGCUGGAAGCAACCCCUUCCGGGAGCCCAGAUCCUGUGCUUUAUUCUAAAGGCGGGAAGGAGCUCACUGAGGAAUGCUUUCAGGCGCAAAGUGAUGAAUAACUAA
rnacentral:lncRNA from 12 species